UAUUUAUUAUACAUGUUUAUUUCUAUAUAAAUAGUUGUUUCUAGAUGAAAAUAUAGAUGAAAACUUAGACGAAUGCCAUGCCCCUGCUUACAAUGAUUCUCUUUGUAGUACAUCUGAAAUAAAUAAAAAAGAUCGUAGUUACCAAAUAUGGUCAGAGGUAAGCAAGUCUGCUUUUGAGAAUGAAUUUGCAAGCUACUUAAAAAAGGAUAGCGGUUAUCCAAGUCGGUCAUAUAUUGAAAGGUUUGCCCAAAAGUUUGGCAUAAACUACUCGCAUGUUCGAGCAAGAAUUGUUAAUUGUCGUCGCAUUCGGGUAAAAAAUUGAAAAAAACAGCUAAGCUUUUAGAAAUCGAUGAAUGAUAAAAAUAUGGACAUAGUUACAUUAUUUUAUGCUGCAUUUUGUUCGAUUUUAUUUCUUACUCGGCGCGCUAAUUUUUUCACGUUUGUUUUGAAAUUUUUGUUUUUGGUUUUUUAUAAAAACACUUUCAAUAAAAAUUGUCUCAGACUAUACAAAUAAACAUAAAAGUAAUAAUUUUUGUUGAGAAAUUUAUAUAUCUUAACUCAGUAUUUCGAUAACCUGCUGCAGAAAACAAACUGCUUUAGAAUUUAUUUGCAUCCCGUUAUAUCUCCUACAUUACUAAUUAAAUCUGCAUACUCUCCAAUUUCGUAAAAACAUAAUAUUUCAGUAUAGAACUUAUAGCUUAUAGUUUCAAGAAAUUUUUUCCCCCGAAAAUAUGUUGUUUUACUAAUACGCUAAAAGUUUGUUAUAAAAGCACCAGUUUAUAGUAGUAUAAAAUGUAUGUAUGAAACUUUUUAAAAAA